rnacentral:rRNA from 1 species
GAGCGAACGCUGGCGGCGUGGCUAAAGCAUGCAAGUCGUACGGAUUACUUUUGUGGGUAACUAUGAAAGUAAUUAGUGGCGCAAGGGUGAGUAACGCGUGGGUAACGUACCCUGGACACGAGUAUAGCCGGCCGAAAGGCCGGGUAAUCCUCGAUGAAACUUUUGGAUCGCAUGGUCCGACAGUCAAAGGAUGGCCUCUAUUUAUAAGCUAUCGGUCUUGGAGCGGCCCGCGUCCUAUCAGCUUGUUGGUGAGGUAAUGGCUCACCAAGGCUUAGACGGGUAGCUGGUCUGAGAGGACGGCCAGCCACAUCGGGACUGAGACACUGCCCGGACCUCCACGGAGGGCUGCAGCAACGAAUAUUCCGCAAUGCGCGAAAGCGUGACGGAGCGACGCCGCGUGUAGGACGAAGCCCCUCGGGGUGUAAACUACUGUCAGGAUUAACCAAGCAAAGGGAUCGAAUAGGUCUCGUAGCUGAGGUAUGCCAGAGGAAGCCACGGCUAACUCUGUGCCAGCAGCCGCGGUAAGACAGAGGUGGCAAGCGUUGCUCGGAAUCACUGGGCUUAAAGGGUAUGUAGGCGGUUUGGUAAGCAUUUUGUGAAAGCCCCGGGCUCAACCCCGGGAAUUGCAGGAUGUACUGCCUGACUUGAGGCGCGUAGAGGUUACUGGAAACUUUGGGUGGAGCGGUGAAAUGCGUAGAUAUCCAAGGGAACGCCAAUGGUGAAGACAGGUAACUGGGCGCGUCCUGACGCUGAGGCACGAAAGCGUGGGGGAGCAAACGGGAUUAGAUACCCCGGUAGUCCACGCCCUAAACGAUGUACACUAGCUUCGGGUAUCUCUGACGAUUUCCGAAGCGUAGGAAAACUGUUAAGUGUACCGCCUGGGAAGUACGGUCGCAAGAUUAAAACUCAAAGGAAUUGACGGGGGCUCACACAAGCGGUGGAGCAUGUGGCUUAAUUCGAAGCAACGCGAAGAACCUUACCUGGGUUUGACAUGUACGGAUGUCGUUCUGGAAACAGGAUUGACUGCCCUUGUGGUGAAACGUACACAGGUGCUGCAUGGUUGUCGUCAGCUCGUGCCGUGAGGUGUUGGGUUAAGUCCCGUAACGAGCGAAACCCCUGUCGAUAGUUGCCAUCAGGUAAAGCUGGGCACUCUAUCGAGACUGCCGGCGUUAAGCCGGAGGAAGGCGGGGAUGACGUCAAAUCAUCAUGGCCUUUAUGCCCAGGGAUGCACACGUGCUACAAUGCCCGGUACAGAUCGAUGCAAAAUCGCAAGGUCGAGCAAAUCGCAAAAAACCGGGCCCAGUUCAGAUUGCAGUCUGCAACUCGACUGCAUGAAGUUGGAAUCGCUAGUAAUCGCGUAUCAGCUACGACGCGGUGAAUGUGUUCCUGAGCCUUGUACACACCGCCCGUCA